CUUGGGAGUGAUCAGGGUGGCCGAAGGUAGAUGGAUUGUUGGGGCAAUGCUGGCAGUAGUUCAAUGCACCAGAGAAGAGUCGCUGACACCCAAGGCAGUAGCAGAAGAACCGGAAAGAUUCCUUCUCUUUAAAAAUCAGUCCUUGUUAGGACUGUAGGAAGCUUUUGACACACUCACAGAGACAGACAUAUGAAUGAACAGAGAAGCAUUCCAAGUAAAACUGGUCUACUAAAGUUUCGGACAUCUGAAUAUUUGCUUAGACUCAGUUCUUUCUGUUGUCAGAUAAGUCUAAAGGGCCUACAGAGUUCAGACUGCCACUUUUAGAUCUGUGCUUGUAGUAAAAUUGAGAACUCAUUCUGCUGUUGGAAUUUGAACUUCAGUCACCUCCAGGAUUUCUUGGGUGCGCUUUAAAAGUGCUCCAGGCCCUGCUGUCACUGGCUAAGGCACUCGGUGUGUUGUGUGUAUGACCAAUGUCACCCUUGACUUUUAGUGAACUGCUUCUGGAGUUCACCUGCAAGAAAGAGGCGGAGCUCCGACCUGAUCUGAGGGUUAUUAGAGGAUAAAAUGGGGGAAUGUUGCUAGACAACACUAAAAGUGACUUUGGUUUUUUUGAUUCAACAUCUUUGUUAGACAUACACUGCCGUGGUGGUUCUGAAGUCUUCAGCUCAUCUCUAAUAGUGAGAUGGGUCCAUCUCAUUUUGCUUGCACAUGCCAAGUCUUACCGGAAAAGCGAAUAAGUUUGUCAACAGAUGGAAAUAUGCAGUGCUCUAAGGCAGAUGGCUGUCUAACUUGAGUGAUAACCUGAUAAAAACUCAGUGGGACAAUCAGCACCGAAACCAACAGAUGCCAUGGCACCCCAAAUAAUCACAGACUAUAAAAUCUUCACUGCCUUAUCAGACAGGCUGGCAAGAAGUCAAGCUUCAAAAGUUAAAAUAAUGCUUUGAAAUUUCACAAUUAUAUAAAAUGUUCUAUAUUUUAUCAUAAAUAAAAGGUAAGUUUGUCACUGUCGCUUUUGGCUCUUCGGCUAUAGUGAAAGUGAAAAUGUUUGAACUUGAACUUCAAUAUCCUCCAACAGGUCCUUUCCUUUUUCGUUUUGGGCUGGUGUUAUUUUGCUGGUUUGACCAAUGAGAAUUUCCCUUAACCUCAGUCGCCUUGUGUUACUAGCCAAACACAGAUCUUUUAGGAUGACACUCUGUGGCUCUCUGCAGCUUCCCACCCACUCUCGCUCAUCAUCACAGCGUCGAGCCUGUGUCACAUCUUUGCGGCUGUAAAGCUGACUGCAUCACAGCGAGGGGGUGACGUGGUCUCAUGUGGGAAUGCGGCUCAUAAAUCCUCACCUCUUUUCCAGAAUGCGAAAGAUACACUGGUUGUAUCCUCCGAGGCCGACCGUGUUCCAGGAUUCAUUACGCGCACUUUGCUGUCACAUAUUUCUCCCUGAAAAUGACGGAAAGCUCAAGGAAAGCGACCGGGGAAUACACUUUUAAACGUGUCCGGGAUCAGGAAGACCUGGUUAAGGGUGAAGUGUUCCAACAGGCUUUCCAUCCCCCUGAUGACACGCCGGCCUAAAUUCAGAAGUUUGUGAGGAAGACGAGGAGAAGCAGGAGCCAACCAGCUGAGACAGAGCGAGACUGUUCUCUCUUUACUUGGUUUAACCGACUGCUAAAUAUAUAAUUUAUCAUCAGCUAUUUCUUACAUAAAUCAUAACAGAAAGAAAAGUGACAGAAGGUCAGGGCUGACAACAUCUGCCAUAUUAGAAAGAUGUUCUCAAAAGAGUUAAAAGAAGAAGAAGAAGAAGAAGAGACAGUUAAUACAAUUGUUUAAAAGAAGAAGCUAAACACCGGGGUUUUAAGCAGGGCGCCCAGUCCAAGUCUGGCUGUGAAGGUCCAGCAGCACUGUCAGGACCUUACUGCUCAGCCAAAAUCUCCCAGGUCCUCCCUGCAGUAAAGAGGCGUUUCCUGGUUUAGACAAAGAAGGAAAAAUAAUAACUGUGGACAGCUUUGACUGAUGAGGCUUAAAGGAAAUAAUUUUUCUGAGCCAUAUGUCGUCUUUAUAGUUAUUGUUAAAAAUAUCUUAUAUGUGGCUGUUUUCAGUGGUGAAAAAAGAACUGAUAUACUAAAAAAUAGUCCAGAAUAAAGGAGGACUCCAAGUUAAAUAUUCAAGGUAGCAGCAGCAAAAUGUACUUGAGAUAUGAAAAAAUAAGUGUUAAAGUUAAAUAACCUGUUUUCUCUGGCAUGUGAGAUAUAUGGUGUUUUUAUUGAUGAGUAUCAAUACUGGAUGUUGGAAGUUUGUAUCAUAUGAGGCACAUUUAUACAAUAUGGAGAACCAGGAGAGACAUGUACAUGGAAAUAAAGCAUUUUAUUAAUUAAUAAUGAAUUGUGCAAUAAAAUAUUAAUUACAAAUUCUACCGAUCUCGAUGUCGGUCAGCGGCAACGGCUUCAGCUUCGUCCCAGGCAAUGUCGAUGGUUCUAUUUAGACAUUAACAAAGUAAUUUAUUGUUUGAUCAUUUAAUGGGCAAUAACAAAAAAGGAAGAUGAAUUAUAAAUAUUUCCAAGUCAUCCGUGCGUCAAUCAAUCAAUCAAUCAAUCAAUCAAUCAAUCAAUCAAUCAAAUGGAAAGCAGAUUAUCAAAACAAAACAAAAAUAUUCAACACUCAAUAAAAACAUCUAAAAAAAAUCAGGAUUAAAAAAAUAUUUUUUCAAAAUCUUUUAAGAAUAAAAAUAGAUCAACAGAUUCAAAAAUGAAAUUAGGAAUAGGGUCAAUAAAUAUUAAGAACAUUAUGAAUCAAAAAAUGUUAACUGGAAUGACUCUCUCUGUAAUGUGAUUCACAGCAUCAUACUCAGUGGAUAACAGUCAGGGUUAACGAUCAGCUACAAAGCCAGCAAACCCAAGUACUGAUCGAUUGAGACAAACGAUGAAGGCCUUGUUCUGUGUUUAUUAUGGCACACUGCACUACAUGCAAACUCAACGUGCUGAACACAGAACACACAAACAGAAACCUGUGUAAACCUUUACGAUGCCUUAAGGCAGCGAAAGCAGCAAAACAAAACACUUAAGUAUCGGCCUGUGUGAAUAAAGAGGUUUUGGGUCUGUUUUUUAACGUGUGCACAGAUGUAAUAGAUCCUUCCAAAGAACAAGCCCACAGUAACUACAAGCACCCUCAUUGCACUUAGAUCUAAUUCUGGGAACAGUUAAAACAUCUGCACCUGAUGACCUGAGAGGGCUGACUGGGUUGUAAACUAGAAUGAUAAAGAAGGGUACUGCUUUUGUUUCCAUCUAUUUUGGUUUUUGCCUUUUUCCAUAUUUUCUUUAUUAUAUAAAUAUAUUUGGUUGCUUGAUUAUUA